rnacentral:rRNA from 13 species
CCUUUACUGUGAACAAAAUAGAGUGUUCAUGGCAGGCCCCUUUGUGGCUUGGAUACCUCAGCACGGAAUAAUAGAGUAGGACUUCCGGUUCUGUUUUGUUGGUUUUUGGAGCCGUAGUAAUGAUUAAUAGGGAUAGUUGGGGGCACUCGUACUCCGUUGUCAGAGGUGAAAUUCUUGGGUUUACGAAAGAUAAACUUCUGCG